UACGUAGGGGGCAAGCGCUGUCCGGAUUUAUUGGGCGUAAAGAGCGUGUAGGCGGUUAGGUAGGUCCGUUGUGAAAACUCGAGGCUCAACCUCGAGACGCCGAUGGAAACCAUCUGACUAGAGUCCGGAAGAGGAAAGUGGAAUUCCUGGUGUAGCGGUGAAAUGCGCAGAUAUCAGGAAGAACACCCGUGGCUAAGGCGGCUCUCUAGUACGUGACUGACGCUGAGACGCGAAAGCGUGGGGAGCGAACAGG
rnacentral:rRNA from 1 species